UGGCUUCUGUAACAAAUACCCUCAACUCUGAUCUUCAUGCAUUCAUACGUGUUCAUUCUUGGCUAGAGUCCCUCAACAUUUAAUAAGCAUCUGUUUUGUUCUAGGCAUCAUCCUGAGCAUAGGGAAAUACAGCACUGAAGAAACACGGUUCUAUUAUUUGCAACUGAUCACAAGUUAUUAGGGAAGAUAGACAAGAAAACUAACAAGUUUGAAACAGCCACUCCACUGACAGCAAAAGAAGAAACAGAUUUAAUUUGAAUUUUGUAUAAUUCAAGACUGAUGACCCAACAGAAUAUUCAGGGCAUGCCCUCCUUUCAACAUGAAUAUCUUUUAGGUCCAAGGGAAGAGAGAACAGAAUCACAAAAGGGCACUGGGAGCCUACUGUAAUCGUCCAAGGUGGAGAGGGUGGAAUUAACAUUUGCAUAGUAAUCAGGCUGAUGGCAUAAUAUGGGAGUCUAAGGAGGAUGGGCAAACUCUGCUGGGAACCCUCUGCCCUAUCGUAUCUGGGUGACAGACGAAAAUACACAGAAGACAAACUAGGACAACAAAUGAGCAUCUGCUGUACCGUCUGGGAAAUGCUGUAGUGGAUGGGAGUACAAAAUCACUAAGGCCCGCCUUCAGGCUACCAUGAAUCUUUCAGCUGUCAGAGCCUCUAAGCUCAGAGGUUCAAAACAUGGCCCGUGGCUUCAGACAGACCUGGAUGAGAAUCUUGGCUCUGCCACUUAUUAGCUUACGUAAGCUCUAAGACUUGGGGUGCCCAUCUGUAAAUUGGAAGAAUCAUCAAAUCUGGUUUUCAGCAGUGCUGUGAACAUUAAAUAAAAUGACACACAUAAAACGUCUAGUGAAACGCCUGUCCUAAAAAGGACUGAAAAAAAUAAUAGUUGUUAUUGAUAUUGGUGAACUUGUUCUUCCUGUUCUCAUCUGCAUAAUUUGAAAACAAAAUCUGCACACACAUCCACACACACCACUCUCUCACUCACGUGUACUAACACACAUCAGUCACAUAAUGUUCGUUUGGAUACUUUGGAAGAAUCAGAAAAUUGGGUCAGUUCAUUUUAUGUUUAGAGCUCAUCAUAGUCAUGGAGUUAAAGAAAGGAUGUUGAACCUAAAUAAAAAAAAAUCUUGGUUCUCAUAUAAACUUAAAAAUAAGACUAGAGAUAUGUUUUCAAAAGCAUAAACCUAUGUGGAUAAAGAAAACAAAACAGGAGGCAGCAGUAACCAAAUACUAAAAUACUAAAAGCCAGGAAGCAGACGGACAAGUAGUAAGUGACUCAACAGGACAGAACAACCAAACAAAACAAUGCAAAUGAUUCCAGCAAUAGUGAGGCUGGGAAAUCCCAUAUAAUCAAGCUGAGUUUUCCAUCAUAACCCCAUAAGAGCUCAGAGAUGAUAGCCCCAGUACUUCUGAAUGUGAUAGAACAAUCAGAGCUAGAGGGAGGAGGUGUGGUGGAAAGCCCCACAAGAAGCAAUUUGAUGUUCAGAUUCUUUUUCUCUGUUCCAUGCUUCUGGAUCAUUGCUCUUUUCUCAACUAGACAGAAGACUGAAGGUUUGUCCUCUAGAGAGAAUGAUCAAGAAAUUCUGGACUCAAGAUACCAGGCACUAUUGUGGGCAGAAUCUCCAUUCUGGAAAACAAGUGACUAGAGGUCUACAAAUUAAAUGGGGAAAUCCACAUUAUCCUUCCCUUAGUUUGCUCCCAUGUUUGUGGAUUGGAGGUAUU